GCUUUUACAAUCGAUUUGGUAUGGUUGUAAAAGAACAAGAACUAUUGAAAGAUUCCAAAUUAUUGAGCGACUUUAGUUUCCUUGACUUUGGGUGGGAUUGGCGUGUUCAUGAUGAAAGUAUAUAAAAAGAAGGCAGCUUUAUAACGCAAAGAGAUUGGAAUUUUAUAAUAAAAUCCUAAUCUUCUUGCCUUGUAGUUGUAUAAUAAAGCUGCCUUCGCGCUUGGCUAGAU